rnacentral:rRNA from 1 species
AACGACUGCUAAUACCCGAUGUGCCGGAAGGUGAAAAUUUUUUGCCUCAAGAGGAGCUCGCGUCUGAUUAGCUAGUUGGUGGGGUAAAAGCGUACCAAGGCAACGAUCAGUAGCUGGUCUGAGAGGAUGAGCAGCCACACUGGGACUGAGACACGGCCCAGACUCCUACGGGAGGCGGCAGUGGGGAAUUUUCCGCAAUGGGCGAAAGCCUGACGGAGCAAUACCGCGUGAGGGAGGAAGGCCUUUGGGUUGUAAACCUCUUUUCUCAGGGAAGAAGAUCUGACGGUACCUGAGGAAUAAGCAUCGGCUAACUCCGUGCCAGCAGCCGCGGUAAUACGGAGGAUGCAAGCGUUAUCCGGAAUUAUUGGGCGUAAAGCGUCCGCAGGUGGUCUUUCAAGUCUGCUGUCAAAGACCAGAGCUUAACUCUGGGCAGGCGGUGGAAACUGAGAGACUAGAGUUCGGUAGGGGUAGCGGGAAUUCCCAGUGUAGCGGUGAAAUGCGUAGAUAUUGGGAAGAACAUCGGUGGCGAAGGCGCGCUACUGGACCGAAACUGACACUCAGGGACGAAAGCUAGGGUAGCG